rnacentral:rRNA from 1 species
UACGAAGGGGGCUAGCGUUGCUCGGAAUCACUGGGCGUAAAGCGCACGUAGGCGGCUUUGCAAGUCGGAUGUGAAAUCCCUCGGCUCAACCAAGGAAGUGCAUCCGAAACUGCAGAGCUUGAGUACUUAAGAGGAUCGCGGAAUUCCCGGUGUAGAGGUGAAAUUCGUAGAUAUCGGGAGGAACACCAGUGGCGAAGGCGGCGAUCUGGGAAGAUACUGACGCUGAGGUGCGAAAGCGUGGGGAGCAAACAGG